rnacentral:rRNA from 1 species
UACGGAGGGGGCUAGCGUUGUUCGGAAUCACUGGGCUUAAAGGGCGCGUAGGCGGGCUGACAAGUCUGGGGUGAAAUGCCGCGGCUCAACCGUGGAACUGCCUUAGAUACUGUCGGCCUCGAGGAAGGUAGGGGCAUGCGGAACUGUAGGUGGAGCGGUGAAAUGCGUUGAUAUCUACAGGAACUCCGGUGGCGAAAGCGGCGUGCUGGACCUUUUCUGACGCUGAGGCGCGAAAGCUAGGGGAGCAAACGGG